rnacentral:ncRNA from 1 species
CCGCCUGAUAAUGCAUCACCUGAUCAUUGAUGGCUCAACAAUAUCAGGCGGACAAGUAAAUAAACACAGCGCCUAUUGAGCGGGUUGCUGCAAUCCGAAACGGAGAGAUUCGUUUGGACUGCGGUUUGCUUUUUGCACCCAUUUUGCAUUGGCGCU